UCAAAGACAGCUUAGUCCUGUGAAAGUCAAGUGCUUGUUCUUGACAGCAUAUCCAAGUAAACGCUUCAACCUCUCAGUCUAAUGAGCUUAAAACACCCAUCUAGCAAUGACCACUAUACACCAUGGGAACUCCCACCCCUGUGGAGGUCUGAGCAUCUGUGUUGUUUAUAAACGUUGACUGUAUGUCCAGUGUUGGUACAAGCAUUUCUCUAAUGUGAACUCAUUUCAUUUCUAGAUGAUCCAAUGGAACACCUCCUACUGCUGCUUCUGCUUUAUGGAUGAGGACAUGCAGGCAUUUUGAGGCUGAGUAACUUGGCUGAAGUCAAUCAGUAAGCCACAGAAGCAUAGUUCAGAUCCAUGCAGUAUGGCUCUGGAGACCAGGUUUCUUUUUAUGGGUCCAACCUGAAGAAACACUCUACAUGGCCAAAUCUAAUGUUGUCACUAAAGCUGCUAUGAGGAACUGCAGGCCCAGCAGAAGGCACAGCCAAGACUGAAGGCUACUGUCAUGGCUGAGGCAAUCACCAGCAUCUUGUAUGGGGAAGGAUAGAGGGAGCUGAGAGGUGAACAGAGACUACUGGCUUUGGAAAUAGAUCCAUACAGCCUCUAGCCCUGCAAAGGGCAUCCUUUAUCACCCACAGCAAGCUCAAGGGCAUUAAGAACCUUACCGUGAUCUCUUUGGUAUCUACAAGAUCCCUAAAAGGUAACACAGCCACUCAGCUCCCAUUGCAAUCUCCGUGGUUCUGAGUGGCUGGGACAAAGCCUGCUGGAGGGAAAAUCUGCCCCACUUCAGAUGCUCAUGCUGGCUCUGACACAUGCUGCAAACAAGCAGCUUCCCACUGUCCAUCCAUUUCCCAUUUUCCUCAUUUGGUUAAACCACUCACUCAGUACUGGGAGCUUCCGUUUUUUUCCCUCAUCUUGAACAUCACGUACUGUUCCAGCCCACAGCCAGCCACCCAGGAAGGAAGCACAGUGUUCCUGGUCAGCCAUAUGGCCACAUUGUUGAAAAGCUCUGUAAGUCAUGUUAUCUGAACCCCAUUAAAAAAGAUCUAUGAGAACUUGA